GGAAGAGAAAGAAAAUUCGAUUCCCUUAGUAGCGGCGAGCGAAACGGGAAGAGCCCAAACCAACAAGCUUGCUUGUUGGGGUUGUAGGACACUCUAUACGGAGUUACAAAGGACGACAUUAGACGAAUCAUCUGGAAAGAUGAAUCAAAGAAGGUAAUAAUCCUGUAGUCGAAAAUGUUGUCUCUCUUGAGUGGAUCCUGAGUACGACGGAGCACGUGAAAUUCCGUCGGAAUCUGGGAGGACCAUCUCCUAAGGCUAAAUACUCUCUAGUGACCGAUAGUGAACCAGUACCGUGAGGGAAAGGUGAAAAGCACCCCGGAAGGGGAGUGAAAUAGAACCUGAAACCGUGUGCUUACAAGUAGUCAGAGCCCGUUAAUGGGUGAUGGCGUGCCUUUUGUAGAAUGAACCGGCGAGUUACGAUUUGAUGCAAGGUUAAGCAGUAAAUGUGGAGCCGUAGCGAAAGCGAGUCUGAAUAGGGCGUUUAGUAUUUGGUCGUAGACCCGAAACCAGGUGAUCUACCCUUGGUCAGGUUGAAGUUCAGGUAACACUGAAUGGAGGACCGAACCGACUUACGUUGAAAAGUGAGCGGAUGAACUGAGGGUAGCGGAGAAAUUCCAAUCGAACCUGGAGAUAGCUGGUUCUCUCCGAAAUAGCUUUAGGGCUAGCCUCAAGUGAUGAUUAUUGGAGGUAGAGCACUGUUUGGACGAGGGGCCCCUCUCGGGUUACCGAAUUCAGACAAACUCCGAAUGCCAAUUAAUUUAACUUGGGAGUCAGAACAUGGGUGAUAAGGUCCGUGUUCGAAAGGGAAACAGCCCAGACCACCAGCUAAGGUCCCAAAAUAUAUGUUAAGUGGAAAAGGAUGUGGCGUUGCCCAGACAACUAGGAUGUUGGCUUAGAAGCAGCCAUCAUUUAAAGAGUGCGUAAUAGCUCAUUAGUCGAGUGACACUGCGCCGAAAAUGUACCGGGGCUAAACAUAUUACCGAAGCUGUGGAUUGUCCUUUGGACAAUGGUAGGAGAGCGUUCUAAGGGCGUUGAAGCAUGAUCGUAAGGACAUGUGGAGCGCUUAGAAGUGAGAAUGCCGGUGUGAGUAGCGAAAGACGGGUGAGAAUCCCGUCCACCGAUUGACUAAGGUUUCCAGAGGAAGGCUCGUCCGCUCUGGGUUAGUCGGGUCCUAAGCUGAGGCCGACAGGCGUAGGCGAUGGAUAACAGGUUGAUAUUCCUGUACCACCUAUAAUCGUUUUAAUCGAUGGGGGGACGCAGUAGGAUAGGCGAAGCGUGCGAUUGGAUUGCACGUCUAAGCAGUAAGGCUGAGUAUUAGGCAAAUCCGGUACUCGUUAAGGCUGAGCUGUGAUGGGGAGAAGACAUUGAGUCUUCGAGUCGUUGAUUUCACACUGCCGAGAAAAGCCUCUAGAUAGAAAAUAGGUGCCCGUACCGCAAACCGACACAGGUAGUCAAGAUGAGAAUUCUAAGGUGAGCGAGCGAACUCUCGUUAAGGAACUCGGCAAAAUGACCCCGUAACUUCGGGAGAAGGGGUGCUCUUUAGGGUUAACGCCCAGAAGAGCCGCAGUGAAUAGGCCCAAGCGACUGUUUAUCAAAAACACAGGUCUCUGCUAAACCGUAAGGUGAUGUAUAGGGGCUGACGCCUGCCCGGUGCUGGAAGGUUAAGAGGAGUGGUUAGCUUCUGCGAAGCUACGAAUCGAAGCCCCAGUAAACGGCGGCCGUAACUAUAACGGUCCUAAGGUAGCGAAAUUCCUUGUCGGGUAAGUUCCGACCCGCACGAAAGGCGUAACGAUUUGGGCACUGUCUCAACGAGAGACUCGGUGAAAUCAUAGUACCUGUGAAGAUGCAGGUUACCCGCGACAGGACGGAAAGACCCCGUGGAGCUUUACUGUAGCCUGAUAUUGAAAUUCGGCACAGCUUGUACAGGAUAGGUAGGAGCCUUUGAAACGUGAGCGCUAGCUUACGUGGAGGCGCUGGUGGGAUACUACCCUAGCUGUGUUGGCUUUCUAACCCGCACCACUUAUCGUGGUGGGAGACAGUGUCAGGCGGGCAGUUUGACUGGGGCGGUCGCCUCCUAAAAGGUAACGGAGGCGCUCAAAGGUUCCCUCAGAAUGGUUGGAAAUCAUUCAUAGAGUGUAAAGGCAUAAGGGAGCUUGACUGCGAGACCUACAAGUCGAGCAGGGUCGAAAGACGGACUUAGUGAUCCGGUGGUUCCGCAUGGAAGGGCCAUCGCUCAACGGAUAAAAGCUACCCCGGGGAUAACAGGCUUAUCUCCCCCAAGAGUUCACAUCGACGGGGAGGUUUGGCACCUCGAUGUCGGCUCAUCGCAUCCUGGGGCUGUAGUCGGUCCCAAGGGUUGGGCUGUUCGCCCAUUAAAGCGGUACGCGAGCUGGGUUCAGAACGUCGUGAGACAGUUCGGUCCCUAUCCGUCGUGGGCGUAGGAAAUUUGAGAGGAGCUGUCCUUAGUACGAGAGGACCGGGAUGGACAUACCUCUGGUGUACCAGUUGUCGUGCCAACGGCAUAGCUGGGUAGCUAUGUGUGGACGGGAUAAGUGCUGAAAGCAUCUAAGCAUGAAGCCCCCCUCAAGAUGAGAUUUCCCAACUUCGGUUAUAAGAUCCCUCAAAGAUGAUGAGGUUAAUAGGUUCGAGGUGGAAGCAUGGUGACAUGUGGAGCUGACGAAUACUAAUCGAUCGAAGACUUAAUCAA
rnacentral:rRNA from 1 species